rnacentral:lncRNA from 1 species
UGCAUGGUGCAUGUCAAGUCAGAAAGCCCGGACACCAUUAACAUUAGUCUAGGUGCCUGGAAGUCCUUGCUAUGUGUUGUUAGUGGGUCAGGAAGGGUUUCAUCUAUCCUGGUGGGGAAAUAGUCCAGGCGCACCUUUAGAGAUAGUCAGAUCGUGAGCUAUGAGCUGCCCUUAAUCCUCAGAAGCCUUGCAGAAAUCUGGGUAUACCACUUCCACCCCUUGAGAAAAAAUGGAAAUCUAACUUGAUGCAGAGUGGAUAUUUGUAUUUCUCUUUGCACUAUUCCCACAGCAGCUGACAUGGGCAAAAUCAUGAAAUAGAAUUGGUUCUGUAAAUUACUUCUUUAAAUUUUCUCUAAAUUUUGCCUUUAGAAAAAUUAAAAUCAUUCAAAGACAGCUAGCUGUCACUGGUGCUGCCCCAAAGCUUUCCAAUCUUUGUAUUUUUUAUGAAUGAAAUGGUUGCUGUGGGAAGGUCAAGGUUCAUCUAAGAACAUCAUAGUAUAAAUAUAAUGGUUUUGCAACUGUUUAAUUUUUCUCUUCCUGUGCCAGAUAUAGAAUGCAAUUGACCCCUUUUCAGUAGCUUCUGUUCAUCAGCCUGUGUUUUCCUGGGCAGACAGCUUUUCUUAGUGAUUGUAAAGCAAGAAAAUCCUAUCUAGGCCACUGUUGCAAAUGUGGAUGGUCAGUCAUUACUUUAGAGGAAAUUGAGUGAUGAAUUUAGGAUAAGCCUUUGGGGUUCCCGUCACAGUUUCCUGGCCUCUGAGGAAGGGUUGGGCCACCUUUGUUCUCAGUGUUUUGAGUAUUUUUCAAAUGUUUGUAUGUUCUCCUGCACUCCUCCAAUAAAAAUGAAAGCUCUCUGUUGAGAAAUGGCUUUGGAUGGUUCGGAGAUCUAGAGGAAAAGAAGUGAGCACACCUGAGACCUUCAGUUGGUCUUUUAUUUAUUUAGAAUAAAAAGUAAGUUUGAUAAACUACCAGAGUUAGUGCUUCUUUAAAAACACUCUGAAAAUAUGGGAACUGUCCUUCAGGAAAGCUAGAAAAGCUAUUCCCAAUACAUUGCAAUUGCUUUUGAUUUUUAGUCCUUUGGAGCCAAUAUCUGAUGUUAUGUUUUUAGAGCUGUAGGGGGAAAAAGGUGUAAAAAAUUUUAAGGGGUGUUAUUUAAGCAAUUAUGUGUGAGCUAGGUUCUAGGGCAGCUGUCCAGUUCUUUUUAUGUUGUCCUGACAGUAAAGCAGAUAAUAAGCAAUGUCUUGAAAAGUGAUUUGCUUAUUUCAUACUGACAUCUAAAGGCAGUAGCCUUCUGUUUGGCAACCUGGGGGUUACCCUCUGCACCAUGACUUAUUAAUGUCCUUUAGACAAAGCUAACCCUGGAAGACUCUGUGUAUUAAUAGUUUCCUGUUCAUGUA